UACAGAGGUGGCAAGCGUUGUUCGGAAUUACUGGGCGUAAAGGGCGCGUAGGCGGCCAGCACAAGUCAGUUGUGAAAUCUCCGAGCUUAGCUCGGAAAGGUCAACUGAUACUGUGCGGCUAGAGUGCGGAAGGGCAACUGGAAUUCUUGGUGUAGCGGUGAAAUGCGUAGAUAUCAAGAGGAACACCUGCGGCGAAGGCGGGUUGCUGGGCCGACACUGACGCUGAGGCGCGAAAGCCAGGGGAGCGAACGGG
rnacentral:rRNA from 1 species